GUAUACGAUCCUUGUUUGCUNGGAGGCGUCGAGCGGCGGACGGGUGANUAAUGCAUAGGAAUCUGCCCGGUAGUGGGGGAUAACUUGANGAAACUCAAGCUAAUACCGCUUUCGCCCUACGGGGGAAAGCAGGGGCUCUUCNGACCUUGCGCUAUCGGAUGAGCUUAUGUCNGAUUANCUGGUUGGUGAGGUAACGGNUCACCAAGGCGACGAUCCGUAGCUGGUCUGAGAGGAUGAUCAGCCNCNUCGGGACUGANACACGGCCCGAACUCCUACNGNAGGCANCAGUGGGGAAUAUUGGACAAUGGGGGCAACCCUGAUCCAGNCAUGCCGCGUGUGUGAAGAAGGCCCUCGGGUUGUAAAGCACUUUCNGCGANGAANAAUGCUUGUCGGUUAAUACCCGGCAAGGGAGACAUCACUCGCANAAGAAGCNCCGGCUAACUCCGUGCCAGCANCCGCGGUAAUACGGAGGGUGCGAGCGUUNAUCGGANUUACUGGGCGUAAAGCGUGCGUAGGCGGCUUGAUAAGCCGGUUGUGAAAGCCCCGGGCUUAACCUGGGAACGGNNUCCGGAAACUGUUNGGCUAGAGUGCANGAGAGGAAGGUAGAAUUCCCNGUGUANCGGUNAAAUGCNUUUAGAUCGGGAGGAAUACCNGUGGCNAAGGCGGCCUUCUGGACUGAC
rnacentral:rRNA from 1 species